rfam:Myotis davidii contig164389, whole genome shotgun sequence.
GGUGAGUACCCCUGCCAAGCAGAUAGGGUUCUGCACCCUGGAGUCACUUACCGCUUUAACAGUUCACUGCUCAGUCCUUGGAUUCAGUCAUCCCAUGGACCAUGGCUUUCGGGCUUUUCAUGUUAGAGUGGCUGCUUGUCGCAGUACUGUCUUCCUUGCUUUAUGUAAG